rnacentral:rRNA from 1 species
AGCAGCCGCGGUAAUUCCAGCUCCAAUAGCGUAUAUUAAAGUUGUUGCAGUUAAAAAGCUCGUAGUUGAAUUUCGGGAUCAAAUUGUCGGUCGUGCCUCGGUACGAACUGGUAUUAUUGGUUCCUCCCUUCUGAAGAACCGCGAUGUCAUUAAUUUGGUGUCGUGGGGAAUCAGGACUGUUACUUUGAAAAAAUUAGAGUGUUUAAAGCAGGCUUACGCUUGAAUACAUUAGCAUGGAAUAAUGAAAUAGGACGUUUGAUUCUAUUUUGUUGGUUUCUAGGAUCGACGUAAUGAUUAAUAGGGAUAGUUGGGGGCAUUAGUAUUCAAUUGUCAGAGGUGAAAUUCUUGGAUUUAUUGAAGACUAACUACUGCGAAAGCAUUUGCCAAGGAUGUUUUCAUUAAUCAAGAACGAAAGUUAGGGGAUCGAAGGCGAUCAGAUACCGUCGUAGUCUUAACCAUAAACUAUGCCGACUAGGGAUCGGAUGAUGUUAAUUUUUUAAUGACUCA